GUAAUAAAAGCUAAAGUUUAAGCAUCGGUCUUGUAAACCGAAGAUUGGAAUUUUUUUCCUUAUUGCA
rnacentral:tRNA from 1 species